AUUCGUUCAUUUCACUUAAUUUUAUCAUGGUUCUUUUAUAUUAUUAUGAUUUAUGGAAUUUGUUAGUCCUUAAUUCACUGACACGAUGUUCUUGUUGAUUUUUACCUGAGCGAGUGUUUUGUGAAUAACUCUUGUUGGUUAUGGGGUUUUGUUUGUUUGUUGAAUUAUCAAGUUACUUGGUGCAACUAUUUUGCUGUAGCAUGUCAAAUAGUCCUUAAUUCCCUUUUGUUUUUGUUAGAUUUUUGAAAAAUAAUAUUAAUACCGGGUUUUUGCUUUGUUGCUUUCUGGAAGAAGCUUGCUCGAAGACUUCUCUUUGACAAGAGUGCCAAUGAUGAUCACGAGAGAAGUAUUUUGACAAAAUUGAAGCAACAAUGUGGUUGACAGUUUACCUUAAAGAUGGAAGGGAUGGUUACAGAUUUGACAUUGGCAAAGGAGAAUAAAAAAAGUUACAAAGUUUUUUAUCUCAAUCUUCCUGCAGAAAUGGUGUGGUGAGAAGAAAUCAAAGAGAAGGAGAAGGGGAAUAAAUAAUUAUGUUCUUGACUCCUGCUUUCAAGAUCAAUGAAGCUGCACAUAAAUCAACUAAAACGGAAAGGAUGAGGAUCCUUAGGUCUACGAGUUCCACUAGAAAGGUUACCUCAAAAUCUUAUAUGAUUAUUUUUGCUAAUGAGAUUGUUUGUUCAAUUUGAAACAUUUUACUGAUGAAUCCAACUUUUAGAAAUGUGAAGCAGCACAGCAAGCUCGUGAUGCAAAUGAGNCAGAGUCUCCUUUGGAUACAAGACAAUCAUCUGAUGGAAGUAACAUUUAGGAANUUUAUGAUAUUGUUUUAGGAUAAAACUAGACCUAUUUAUUAUGAAUGGAGUAACAUUUCUUUAUUUGUAACUACUUCUAA